rnacentral:rRNA from 1 species
UGAGGAAUAUUGGUCAAUGGGCGGGAGCCUGAACCAGCCAAGCCGCGUGAGGGAUGAAGGCCCUAUGGGUCGUAAACCUCUUUUGUCAGGGAACAAAAGCGAGUAUGUAUACUAGUCUGAGUGUACCUAAAGAAAAAGCAUCGGCUAACUCCGUGCCAGCAGCCGCGGUAAUACGGAGGAUGCGAGCGUUAUCCGGAUUUAUUGGGUUUAAAGGGUGCGUAGGCGGCGGUGCAAGUCAGCGGUAAAAGCCCGGGGCUCAACCCCGGCGAGCCGUUGAAACUGCAGUGCUAGAGAAGGCGAGAGGUACGCGGAAUGCGCAGUGUAGCGGUGAAAUACUUAGAUAUUGCGCAGAACUCCGAUUGCGAAGGCAGCGUACUGGCGCCUGACUGACGCUGAGGCACGAGAGCGUGGGGAUCGAACAGGAUUAGAUACCC